AUUGAACGCUGGCGGCAGGCCUAACACAUGCAAGUCGAACGAGUGGCGGACGGGUGAGUAAUGUCUGGGAAACUGCCUGAUGGAGGGGGAUAACUACUGGAAACGGUAGCUAAUACCGCAUACCCUCGGAUGUGCCCAGGUGGGAGUAGCUAGUAGGUGGGGUAAAGGCUCACCUAGGCGACGAUCCCUAGCUGGUCUGAGAGGAUGACCGGCCACACUGGGACUGAGACACGGUCCAGACUCCUACGGGAGGCAGCAGUGGGGAAUAUUGCACAAUGGGCGAAAGCCUGAUGCAGCAAGGCCGCGUGUAUGAAGAAGGCCUUCGGGUUGUAAAGUACUUUCAGCGGGGAGGCGGUACCCGCAGAAGAAGCCCCGGCUAACUCCGUUCCAGCAGCCGCGGGAAUAC
rnacentral:rRNA from 1 species